AUACGAGUUCGAUGCUCAAGGGUUCAUCUCAGCAGUGAAUAUUUUUAUAGAACAUAUACAACAUUUAUUCACCAUACAUCACAUAUAUAAACUCUUUGUUUUGUUCCUUGGGAUACAAGGAAAAAUGAAACAAAGGAAGAAGAAACAACAAGACCUAGCCCAAAACAUUGAAGACUGAAGUUCUUUUUUUUUUUUUGUCACGAAUGAAGACUGAAGUUCAAAUUUUUAAAACAUCAAAUUUACUGCUAAUAUGGCUUCACUGACUUCUUCUAGGCCUUAUUAAAUUGAGGCCAAGCCCACUGUCUCCGUCACAUUCCCGGAUAAGCCAUAUAUACCAAGAAUCAAAUCUCAAGCGAAUCGAUUUUAAAUCUAGAAGAAGGGAUAAAUGAUGAAGAUGACCAGCAUGGUUCUGUUGUCCACUUACGGUGUGGGGACUGGUCGGCAUAUUCUUUUACGACCACGUGCCUCCCCAGGGACUCUCAACGUGAUAUACACGCCGAAAGUGGAAAACAGAGCUCUCUGAGUAUUGAGGAGAAUCUUAACAGUGCUAAUAUUUAAAUAACGACCAUGUGGUCACUCAUAUAUUUUUCUCUAUUCUUUUUAAUCGAUCAUAAAAUGCUUAAUUUGAUUUUACCACUCUUUUUUAACUGUUAAUUGGUUCUUCCUUUUGUUGAGGCUUCAACUUCAAGCAACACCGCACCAUAAUGGAUCCAAACUAGGAGUCAAAGUGAAUAUGUCCCUUCAAAAUACAUUAUUGCAUUGAUUUGCCGAUAAGAGAUAAAUG
rnacentral:lncRNA from 1 species